rnacentral:lncRNA from 1 species
UGAACAUGAAUCCCAAACAUUUAUUCAGCUGAUCGCCGAUAAAGCUAUUCAUAAGUUGAUAUAUUUAUGGAUAGAAAAUCAAGAUAUAUAAAUGUUAGUCGUAUGGUAAUCUAAAUUAUUACUAAAACUUACUCGUGAAAUAUUAAAAUGGUAUUUAGACUUUUAAACAGUACAUAAAGAAAGAAAUUCAAAGAGGCACAAAAUUCUGCUGAACAUCACCACCAAUAUAUGUGACUAACCUUUGAAUAAAAUGAAUGAAAGAGUACAUCUGAGUUAAAUACACAUUCG